rnacentral:lncRNA from 1 species
CUCACAUAUGGGGAAAUAAAAGAAAGAAAAGGAUAUCCCAGGUCACUUCCAUGAAUCAAUAAGUAAAUAUUCCAAUAUCACAGAAAUAGAUUAGACAAAGUACCGACCCGUGAUCAUCUUGUGGUAUGUUAGUCACGAUUUUCAGAUCAAGUGGUUUGCCAUUUAAUGCCAUUGAUGGUCUUUGGUUGCCAUGCAUUUAUCUUCACCACAAAACAGGGGAGAACAUAAAUGAAAGCUUCUACAUCGCAGCACACGAUUCUAUCUCUCAAAGUCGGCCGACUUGAGUUAUGAACGUGCAAAGCAUCUGUCCUUCACAUCGUAGUGACCAAGUAUCCAAUGAGCUUUCUUCUCCAUCAUGAUUGGAAUGAUGACAUGAUCGAUAUUAGACUACCAGGUAUUGCAGUGCAUGUAAUCUCCUAUUCAACCAAAGACUUGAGUUAUAACUGCCUCAGUAAUGUAAGAUGUUUCUUACAUUCACAACAAAAUGUGAAACAAUAUGAUGGGAUUGUGUGAACAAAUAUCACUGUAGUGACGAAAAUUAGUAAUUAAUAUUACUAACGAUAAUGUGACUUGUCUGUGGCCCGUAUUUGAGCACCGCCUUUUUCCUUUUUGUUGUUGGGAUUAGUUAUCGAAGCUUCCAUAGACCUCUUUAGGUUCGUCUUCCCUGAAGAUUCAGCGUUGAAUUGCACGGCUCUUACAUAUGACGGACGAAUACCCUUUUCCUUUGAAUCCGAUAGAAUUCUAAUAGACUGGGACCACCUGGUAAUGCGGUGAUGAGGAGUCCCAAAUUUUUCUUCUUUUGGCUCAAUGAUCUCCAAAGACUUAGAUGACGUUCAAACUCGCUGGGUCUUGACGGAACCCAUGAACAAGGAGUAGCUUCAGUAUUUGUUGUACUCUACAGAACCCAGAGAAGAGUGAAUAUAUUUAUGAGCAGUCGAAAUUGAGUUUUGGCCCAUUUCCUCAUUGUUGUUUGAAAACAAAUUUGAACUGCUUCUGUGUGAUGCAAUAACCUGCCGGAAACUUAGAACCCACUUCGUAUUAGCUCAGAAAAAUCAGAUUUUUGUACCUUCAUCACCAAUUAGGGUUUUAUAGAUGUGAUAAAUCCCUAAUCAAUGAAACAAAUAAUAUAAAAAAUUUUACAAUGUGGAAUGAUGCAAGGGAUUACGGUGCUUAAUUUGUAUGAUACCAAAUUCUGGUGUGAUUUUUGGAAUAUCUUGAGUUGAAAUGAUUUGGGAGGAAUGGAGGAAGAGAGGAGUAUGAAUACCAAUUUGGGGAUUGAAACGAUUAUGUUUUGC